rnacentral:rRNA from 1 species
UACGUAGGGGGCAAGCGUUGUCCGGAUUUAUUGGGCGUAAAGAGCGUGUAGGCGGCUUGGCAAGUCCGCUGUGAAAACUCGAGGCUCAACCUCGAGACGUCGGUGGAAACUGCCUCGCUAGAGUCCGGAAGAGGAGAGUGGGAAUUCCUGGUGUAGCGGUGGAAAUGCGCAGAUAUCAGGAAGAACACCCGUGGCUAAGGCGGCUCUCUAGUACGGUACUGACGCUGAGACGCGAAAGCGUGGGGGAGCGAACAGG